rnacentral:rRNA from 1 species
GAUGAACGCUGGCGGCGUGCCUAAUACAUGCAAGUCGAGCGAACAGAUAAGGAGCUUGCUCCUUUGACGUUAGCGGCGGACGGGUGAGUAACACGUGGAUAACCUACCUAUAAGACUGGGAUAACUUUGGGAAACCGGAGCUAAUACCGGAUAACAUAUUGAACCGCAUGGUUCAAUAGUGAAAGGCGGCUUUGCUGUCACUUAUAGAUGGAUCCGCGCCGUAUUAGCUAGUUGGUAAGGUAACGGCUUACCAAGGCAACGAUACGUAGCCGACCUGAGAGGGUGAUCGGCCACACUGGAACUGAGACACGGUCCAGACUCCUACGGGAGGCAGCAGUAGGGAAUCUUCCGCAAUGGGCGAAAGCCUGACGGAGCAACGCCGCGUGAGUGAUGAAGGUCUUCGGAUCGUAAAACUCUGUUAUCAGGGAAGAACAAAUGUGUAAGUAACUGUGCACAUCUUGACGGUACCUGAUCAGAAAGCCACGGCUAACUACGUG